rnacentral:rRNA from 1 species
AGAGUUUGAUCCUGGCUCAGAAUCAACGCUGGCGGNNNNCCUAACACAUGCAAGUCGAACGAGAAAGUGGAGCAAUCCAUGAGUAAAGUGGCGUACGGGUGAGUAACACGUGGAUCAUCUACCCUCUAGUGGGGAAUACCGCUGGGAAACCGGCGACAAUACCGCAUAAGCUCGAGAGAGGAAAGCAGCAAUGCGCUGGAGGAGGAGUCCGCGGUCGAUUAGUUAGUUGGCGGGGUAAAGGCCCACCAAGACUGUGAUCGAUAGCCGGCCUGAGAGGGCACACGGCCACACUGGCACUGAAACACGGGCCAGACUCCUACGGGAGGCAGCAGUGGGGAAUCUUGCACAAUGGGGGAAACCCUGAUGCAGCGACGCCGCGUGAGCGAUGAAGCCCCUCGGGGUGUAAAGCUCUUUCGGCAGGGAAGAUUAUGACGGUACCUGCAAAAGCAGCUGCGGCUAACUACGUGCCAGCAGCCGCGGUAAUACGUAGGCAGCAAGCGUUGUUCGGAGUUACUGGGCGUAAAGGGUGCGUAGGCGGCUUUUUAAGUUUGGUGUGAAAUCUCCCGGCUCAACUGGGAGGGUGCGCCGAAUACUGAGAGGCUAGAGUGUGGGAGAGGAAAGUGGAAUUCCUGGUGUAGCGGUGAAAUGCGUAGAUAUCAGGAGGNNNNCCGGUGGUGUAAACGGCUUUCUGGACCAUAACUGACGCUGAGGCACGAAAGCGUGGGUAGCAAACAGGAUUAGAUACCCUAGUAGUCC